rnacentral:sRNA from 1 species
CAGAAACCCGUAGGGGAACUGGCCACGUCAUUUUUGUGUUUGAUAUUGACGUCUGUGUCCGUAGAUUUACAGGGCUUAGACCUAGAUCUGUAUCAUACAACUUAAAUCAAUUUAGUUGUUUUUAUAUUUUUUAACGAACAUUAAAUAUUUAUUCUAAAUUUAUUGGCUUGAUUUCUAUGUAUAGUAAACACAAUGACAACAUCACCUGACAUUGAUCCUAUAGAUUUCAAUAAAAUUAUUAAAGAUUACCAACAUGUCAAGCAAGUUCUCGGAGAAGCGAAGCUGGACAGACUAAAGGUGAAGACUGUGAAAGAAAGUGUUCAAUGGACAGAACACGGACACUCCACUAAUCAGGAAAAUGCAAAUAUUAUUGUGCACUUCCA